rnacentral:rRNA from 1 species
CACGUAGGGACCAAGCGUUGUCCGGAUUUAUUGGGCGUAAAGAGCUCGUAGGCGGUUCCGUAAGUCGGAUGUGAAAACUCAGGGCUCAACCCUGAGACGCCAUCUGAUACUGCGGUGACUAGAGUCCGGUAGGGGAGCAUGGAAUUCCUGGUGUAGCGGUGGAAUGCGCAGAUAUCAGGAGGAACAGCAAUGGCGAAGGCAGGUCUCUGGGCCACAACUGACGCUGAGGAGCGAAAGCGUGGGGAGCGAACAGG